rnacentral:rRNA from 1 species
UUUAGUGGCGGACGGGUGAGUAACGCGUGGAUAACCUGCCGUAUACAGGGGGAUAACACUUAGAAAUAGGUGCUAAUACCGCAUAAGCGCACGGUUCCGCAUGGAACAGUGUGAAAAACUCCGGUGGUAUACGAUGGAUCCGCGUCUGAUUAGCCAGUUGGCGGGGUAACGGCCCACCAAAGCGACGAUCAGUAGCCGGCCUGAGAGGGUGAACGGCCACAUUGGGACUGAGACACGGCCCAAACUCCUACGGAAGGCAGCAG